GAUGAACGCUGGCGGCGUGCCUAAUACAUGCAAGUCGAACGCACAGCGAAAGGUGCUUGCACCUUUCAAGUGAGUGGCGAACGGGUGAGUAACACGUGGACAACCUGCCUCAAGGCUGGGGAUAACAUUUGGAAACAGAUGCUAAUACCGAAUAAAACUUAGUGUCGCAUGACACAAAGUUAAAAGGCGCUUUGGCGUCACCUAAAGGUGGAUCCGCGGUGCAUUAGUUAG
rnacentral:rRNA from 1 species